AACGCUAGCUACAGGCUUAACACAUGCAAGUCGAGGGGCAGCAUGGUCUUAGCUUGCUAAGGCCGAUGGCGACCGGCGCACGGGUGAGUAACACGUAUCCAACCUGCCGUCUACUCUUGGACAGCCUUCUGAAAGGAAGAUUAAUACAAGAUGGCAUCAUGAGUCCGCAUGUUCACAUGAUUAAAGGUAUUCCGGUAGACGAUGGGGAUGCGUUCCAUUAGAUAGUAGGCGGGGUAACGGCCCACCUAGUCUUCGAUGGAUAGGGGUUCUGAGAGGAAGGUCCCCCACAUUGGAACUGAGACACGGUCCAAACUCCUACGGGAGGCAGCAGUGAGGAAUAUUGGUCAAUGGGCGGGAGCCUGAACCAGCCAAGUCGCGUGAAGGAAGAAGGAUCUAUGGUUCGUAAACUUCUUUUGCAGGGGAAUAAAGUGCAGGACGUGUCCUGUUUUGUAUGUACCCUGAGAAUAAGGAUCGGCUAACUCCGUGCCAGCAGCCGCGGUAAUACGGAGGAUCCGAGCGUUAUCCGGAUUUAUUGGGUUUAAAGGGAGCGUAGGUGGAUUGUUAAGUCAGUUGUGAAAGUUUGCGGCUCAACCGUAAAAUUGCAGUUGAAACUGGCAGUCUUGAGUACAGUAGAGGUGGGCGGAAUUCGUGGUGUAGCGGUGAAAUGCUUAGAUAUCACGAAGAACUCCGAUUG
rnacentral:rRNA from 1 species